rnacentral:rRNA from 1 species
AACUAACGCUGGCGGCGUGCCUAACACAUGCAAGUCGUACGAGAAAGUUGGCUUCGGCCGAUGAGUAAAGUGGCGCACGGGUGAGUAACGCGUGGGUAAUCUACCCCUCAGUUGGGAAUAACUCAUCGAAAGGUGGGCUAAUACCGAAUAACACUGCAUGACUUCUGUUGUGUAGUCAAAGAUGGCCUCUGCUUGCAAGCUAUCGCUGAAGGAUGAGUCCGCGUACCAUUAGCUAGUUGGUAGGGUAAUGGCCUACCAAGGCAACGAUGGUUAGCUGGUCUGAGAGGAUGAUCAGCCACACUGGAACUGAGACACGGUCCAGACUCCUACGGGAGGCAGCAGUGAGGAAUAUUGCGCAAUGGGGGAAACCCUGACGCAGCAACGCCGCGUGAGUGAGGAAGGUUUUCGGACCGUAAAGCUCUGUCGAGCGGGAAGAAAUGCAUAGUGGCUAAUAUCCAUUAUGCUUGACGGUACCGCUAAAGGAAGCACCGGCUAACUCCGUGCCAGCAGCCGCCGUAAAAC